rnacentral:miRNA from 1 species
AAGUGCUUCCAUGUUUUAG